AUAGUACUGUGAAGGAAAGGUGAAAAGCACCCCGGGAGGGGAGUGAAAAAGAACCUGAAACCCUGUGCCUACAAGCACCUAGAGCGCGUCAAUGUGUGAUAGGGUACUUUUUGUAGAACGGUCCGGCGAGCGAUUGUAUGCAGCAAGGUUAAGGACUUAAGGUCUGGAGCCGAAGCGAAAGCGAGUUUGAAAAGGGCGUUAAGUUGCAUAUAAUGGGCCCGAAACCGGGUGACCUACCCAUGGUCAGGUUGAAGUGGAAGUAAAAUUCCAUGGAGGACCGAACCGACCUCCGUUGAAAAGGCGGCGGAUGAACUGUGGGUAGCGGAGAAAUUCCAAUCGAACCCGGAGAUAGCUGGUUCUCCCCGAAAUAGUUUUAGGACUAGCCUCAAGUUAGAUACCUGGAGGUAAAGCACUGAAUAGCCUAGCGGCCGAGAGGUUAGCGAAGCUUAUCAAACUCAGAAUGCCAGAGUAUUGAUGCUUGGGAGUCAGACAGUGUCAGAUAAAUGUCAUUGUCAAAAGGGAAACAGCCCAGAUCUACAGCUAAGGUCCCAAAGUCAGGUUAAGUGGAAAACGAUGUGAAGAUACGCAGACAACCAGGAUGUUGGCUCAGAAGCAGCCACUCAUUCAAAGAGUGCGUAAUAGCUCACUGGUCGAGCGUCUUUGCGCGGAGAAUUUAACGGGGCUAAACCUGACACCGAAGCUUAGGCAAUCCAGUAAUGGAUUGGGUAGGGGAGCGUUGUAUACGCGGAGAAACAGUAGCGUAAGCGGCUGUGGAGUGUAUAGAAGUGAGAAUGCCGGAAUGAGUAGCGCGAAUGCAGUGAGAAUCUGCAUGGCCGAAAGCCUCAGGUUUUUGGAGGAAGGUUCGUCCGCUCCAAGUUAGUCGGGAGCUAAGGUGAGGCCGGAAGGCGUAGCCGAUGCACAGACGGUAGAGAUUCCGUCACCACCAAAAGAGUUAAGCACAGGGACACAUUUGAAGUCUCAGAGCCGGGUGUUGGUUCCGGUAGAGAUCGAGGGAAGUUAGUACCGAAGUCUGGGAUGGAAGAUGGCGAGAAAAGCUGUGUGUAUUUCUGAGGUGCCCGUACCGCAAACCGACACAGGUAGGUAGGAAGAAGAUUCUAAGGCCAACGGGAGAAGGGUUGUUAAGGAACUCGGCAAAUUGACCCCGUAACUUCGGGAGAAGGGGUGCUCCAGAGAUGGAGCCGCAGAGAAUCGGCCCAAGCAACUGUUUACCAAAAACACAGGUUUGUGCUAAAUCGAAAGAUGACGUAUACGAGCUGACGCCUGCCCGGUGCUGGAAGGUUAAGAGGAGAUGUGCAAGCAUUGAAUCGAAGCCCCAGUGAACGGCGGCCGUAACUAUAACGGUCCUAAGGUAGCGAAAUUCCUUGUCAGGUAAGUUCUGACCCGCAUGAAAGGCGUAAUGAUUUGGGCACUGUCUCAACAGCCCGCCCGGCGAAAUUGUAGUACCGGUGAAGAUGCCGGUUACCCGCGACAAGACGGAAAGACCCCAUGGAGCUUUACUGUAGCCUAAUAUUGGGUUUCGAUGUUGCAUGCACAGGAUAGAUGGGACACUGGGAAACAGGAGCUUUGGCUUCUGCGGAGUGGCCGUUGGGAUACCAUCCUUGCGAUAUUGGAAUUCUAACCUGCGGCUCUGAAUCGAGUCGGGGGACAUUGUUAGGUGGGCAGUUUGACUGGGGCGGUCGCCUCCUAAAAAGUAACGGAGGCGUUCAAAGGUUCGCUCAGCUUGAACGGAAAUCAAGCAAAAGAGUGCAAACGCAGAAGCGAGCCUAACUGCGAGACUGACGGGUCGAGCAGUAACGAAAGUUGGAGUUAGUGAUCCGGUGGUAUGUGAGUGGAAAUGCCAUCGCUCAACGGAUAAAAGUUACCCUGGGGAUAACAGGCUGAUCUCCCCCAAGAGUCCACAUCGACGGGGAGGUU
rnacentral:rRNA from 1 species